CCUACGGGAGGCAGCAGUGGGGAAUAUUGCACAAUGGGGGGAACCCUGAUGCAGCCAUGCCGCGUGAAUGAAGAAGGCCUUCGGGUUGUAAAGUUCUUUCGGUAGCGAGGAAGGCAUUUAGUUUAAUAGACUAGGUGAUUGACGUUAACUACAGAAGAAGCACCGGCUAACUCCGUGCCAGCAGCCGCGGUAAUACGGGGGGUGCGAGCGUUAAUCGGAAUAACUGGGCGUAAAGGGCACGCAGGCGGUGACUUAAGUGAGAUGUGAAAGCCCCGAGCUUAACUUGGGAAUUGCAUUUCAUACUGGGUCGCUAGAGUACUUUAGGGAGGGGUAGAAUUCCACGUGUAGCGGUGAAAUGCGUAGAGAUGUGGAGGAAUACCGAAGGCGAAGGCAGCCCCUUGGGAAUGUACUGACGCUCAUGUGCGAAAGCGUGGGGAGCAAACAGGAUUAGAUACCCU
rnacentral:rRNA from 1 species